GGGCACUUGGCUCAGCCUGGCUAGAGCACUUCCUUGACAUGGAAGGGAUCACAGGUUCAAAUCCUGUAGUGCCCACCA
rnacentral:tRNA from 1 species